AUGGAUGGGCACCGAAAGCUAAUGGAUGGGCACCGCCAGCAACAACCAAAUCAAAUUCCUAGGGUAUCAAGUGGCUACCUCGUGCCGACCCUCAGCCGUCGCGCCACCGCGGCGCCUCGCCGCCGGCUCAACGCUUCCGAUGGUUGCGCCCCGCGGCGGAAGGGGAGGCGGCCUCGCGUCGCCGCGGCCGGAGGUGGGGGAGGGGGGCGGUGGCAAACGGUGGCCACGGUUGGCACGGCCAGAGCCCAGGGCCCAUUUGGGCAAGCGUCUCGAGCCGUCGCCGACCUGCAGCCCAAUAAGGUUUGCACGCUCACUAGCUCAGUUGUCUCGCCGGAAGAAACUUCAAGACAGCUACAGCAAGAUCGCAUGAUAUGCCUGCAACGAAAUGAUGAAGAAAGUGGUGCGCCAACUGCUAUCCUCACAGAUGACAGGGGUCCGUUUAUAGCAGUGCAAUCUUGCUCGCCCUUCAGCGAGUCUGAAGCCAGGACUCGCUGUCGCGUGCCUCGGCGAUUCCUAUACGACGCGCGCGAGCGUCAAGGUGUGGCCGCUUCACUGAAGCAAAGCGACCGAUCGACAAGAUAUGGACCGGCCCACUUGAGCGAGGAACUGGUUUUGGGACCUUCCAGAAGGGAGGCUCUAACCCUAGCUGAGGACCUUCAGUUGACAAAUCUCACAGUCAAGGAUGAGUCGGAAACAGAAUUGAAAAAGGAAAGGCAAAAGUGCGAUCCUAUUUACACGCAUCGUAUGCUUCAUACGCCGCCAUACAAACAUAGCAACUCCGAUCGUCGAGAUCACGUCGGCCGGAAGGAGAUGGAAGCGACGACGACGGCGGCCACGCUCCCGAACGACGUCAUCCUGGAGAUCCUCGCACGUCUGCCAGACGAGGCUGUGCUCUUCCGAUGCGCGGCGACGUGCAAGCUGUGGAGUACCCUAGUGGCCGACCCUUCGUUCCUCCGCCGCCCAACGGGCAAAUCCCUCGUGCAAUCAUGGAGCACGUUCCCAGGGGACCACGGUCGGCGUCGUCCGGCCUCCGCCGUCGACCCCUCGGAUCCUUGCCCCCCCGAAGCCGACGGCCUCUUCGAUCGCGCGAAGCCGGUCGCCUCGCGCGGCGGUCUCCUCCUCCUGCACUUCGUCCCGCGCCACGCCCGCGUCCACCACCACUCGCCCCCGACCUCCAGCCACUUCGCCGUGUGCAACUUGCUUGCCGGCUCGUGGGAGGUGCUUCCCCCACUGCGGCAAAAGUCGAUCUACGACGGCGUCGAACUGGAGGGCUCUGGCAUUCUAGCGGGGGCGGACUUCUGCUCCGGCGGCCAACAGCAGCGACGGCGGCCAUUGCGGGGCUUCUCGGCCCUAUUCAAAGUGCUACUCAUCGGCGGCAGCUACGAUGGAGCGCGCCAUUACCUUUACACGUUCUCGUCCGACCAGCCGAGCUGGAGCGCGCCCAGUAGCUUCCAGGACUGUGUGAAGCACCACAAUGGCUUAACGAUGGCCCAGCAGAGCGCCGUCGUGCGACGGGGCACGGCGCACUGGCUCUGCUGGGACUUUUCAGACAUGUACAGCGUCGACGUGAACGCCGAGACCGGCCGAUCCUCCUUGGCGAAUCUUCGCGUCCCCGCUGGAGCAUGCUACUACUUCCUCCCUUACAGUACGCCGAAACUUGUCGUCGACGUCGACGGGGCGCUCCAGCUGGUCCCCCUACACAUCGAAGGACUCUGGGUAGAGACCUGGACACGACAAGACGGCGGAGAUCAGAGCAUCGACAGCGGGAGUGCAGACUGGCUCCGCACACGGAUGGUCGAGAUAGAACAACCCAAGCAAAAGUUGACUGAAAGAGCGGACUGUGUUUGCGUUGGAGAGAAAAGUUGCACCAAGACGGGAGAGCGCUCCUGGCCGACCUUGAGACUGGGGCGGCGGAGGAGAUGA
rnacentral:rRNA from 1 species